ACUUCACUGGCAAUAUUUAACUGAAUUGUGACUCUCAAUGUUCAAUAUCCUUCUUUCCACCCUCACGCCAUCGCAUAAGAUAACCCUCAAGGUACAGAGACAGUUACUGUAACCAUUUGCUUUUUAUUCUCCCAUCUCACUCCCUCAGCUAAAUGAGCUUAAUCUUCUCCAUUUGGGUAGCACUUCAGAAAAGCUGAUUUUGGACAGGAAAAAACUCAGGAGAACUACUUCUCUGAGUCACGGAAUCAGUAGCGAGUUGAUUCUAAUGCCAUAUGCCUGCAUCCUGACUUUACUUAACCUACACCUUCACCUAGGUUCUUUACUGACUUUUUUUUUUUAACCAGAAUUUUUCUCUGUGUACCAGUAUCAUGGUAUCCAUAUUAUGAUCUGUACCACUGACCACUAUUUUGGCUACAUCUCAGACCUGCUCUUUGCUUGGCCAGUUGUAUAAAGUUAGCCUGUGUAUCCACCUUUUGCCUCUUUAUGUUGCCCACUUUCCUGCCUCUUUUAUCUUAAGAAGCUACUGACCAGUUCUAUGUUGCUGAACUUGUGAUUUGGUUUCCUCUUCUGCCCUGAAAAUACCUAUCAGCCCUGUCCUCAUGCUUCUCAAGUCUCAGCUUGACAUAAUCUGUAGGUUGUUUUAGUGUAUAGUGCUUAGGUUGCUGGGUGAGUUGGUGAUAGGAACUGAAUUGUAUCUCUCUCCAAAUUCAUAUGCGGAAGCCCUAACCCCCAAUGUGACUGUCCUUGAAGAAAGGGCCAGGUUAAGUGAGGUCAUAAGGAUGGAACCGUAAUUCAAUAGCACUGAGGGAUGUGCUUGCAAGAAAAGGAAGAGACAUCACGGAUGCACAAGCACAAAGAAAAGGCCAUGUGAGGACACAGUGAGAAGGCAGCCAUCUGCAAGCCAAAGAGAGAAGCCUCAGAGAAAACAAACCUGUCAGCACCUUGAUCUGGAAACUCCAGCCUCCAGAGCUGUGAAGAAAUAAAUUUCUGUUGUUCAAGCCACUCCAUCUGUGAUUUUUAUAUGGCAGCCCUGGCAGACUGAUACAGUUGCAAUGAAGAAUAAUUGGGGAUGUUUACAUCUACCCAAGAAGAAUAAUUCGAUUUAUACUGGAUUACCUAUAUAUUGAGUUUCCUAAGUUACAUGCAGUCAAACUUCCGAACUUUGUUGUUUAGCUUUUGUUUGUCUGUGUGCACUUAGUUAUGCAAUGCUAAAUAAUGAUGAUAUGUCAUCUUAGAGAUAUAGCUUUAGUGUACUUGUUCUCUGAAGUGGAUAUUUAUGUCUGAUAUAAUAUCACAGAACCAUCUGAAGAAAUGGGUCCUGAGAGACAGCCAAUAAAAUAUAUAUAUUGCUGAAAC
rnacentral:lncRNA from 1 species